GGGCUAGUGGCGCCAUGGAUAACGCGUCUGACUACGGAUCCGAAGAUUCUAGGUUCGACUCCUGGCUAACUCG
rnacentral:tRNA from 1 species